rnacentral:rRNA from 1 species
GACAGAGGUGCCGAGCGUUAGGCGGAAUCACUGGGCUUAAAGCGUGUGUAGGCGGGCCGUCAAGUGCCUCGUGAAAUCCCGCCGCUCAACGGCGGAACCGCCGGGCAGACUGACGGCCUUGAGGGACCCAGGGGCGAGCGGAACAGGCGGUGGAGCGGUGAAAUGCGUAGAUAUGUUAUAGAACACCGAUUGCGAAGGCAGCUGACUAAGCAUAUAUUGACGCUGAGGCACGAAAGCGUGGGGAUCAAACAGG